rnacentral:rRNA from 1 species
UACGUAGGGGGCGAGCGUUAUCCGGAUUCAUUGGGCGUAAAGCGCGCGCAGGCGGGCUUGCAAGCGGGGCCUUUAAUCUUGGGGCUUAACCUCAAGUCGGGUUCCGAACUGCAAGCCUCGAGUGUGGUAGGGGAAGGCGGAAUUCCCGGUGUAGCGGUGGAAUGCGCAGAUAUCGGGAAGAACACCGAUGGCGAAGGCAGCCUUCUGGGCCACUACUGACGCUGAGGCGCGAAAGCUGGGGGAGCGAACAG